rnacentral:rRNA from 1 species
CCUACGGGAGGCAGCAGUAGGGAAUAUUGCACAAUGGGGGAAACCCUGAAGCAGCAACGCCGCGUGGAGGAUGAAGGUUUUCGGAUUGUAAACUCCUUUUGUUAGAGAAGAUUAUGACGGUAUCUAACGAAUAAGCACCGGCUAACUCCGACCCAGCAGCCGCGGUAAUACGGAGGGUGCAAGCGUUACUCGGAUUCGCUGGGCGUAAAGAGUGCGUUGGCGGGGUAAUAAGUCAGAUGUGAAAUCCUGUAGCUUAACUACAGAACUGCAUUUGAAACUGUUGCUCUGGAGUGUGGGAGAGGUAGGUGGAAUUCUUGGUGUAGGGGUAAAAUCCGUAGAGAUCAGGAGGAAUACUCGUUGCGAAGGCGACCUGCUGGACCGUUACUGACGCUGAGGCACGAAAGCGUGGGGAGCAAACAGGAUUAGAUACCCGAGUAGUC